rnacentral:rRNA from 1 species
AUACGUAGGGAGCGAGCGUUGUCCGGAAUUACUGGGUGUAAAGGGUGCGUAGGCGGGACUGCAAGUCAGAUGUGAAAUGCCGGGGCUCAACCCCGGAGCUGCAUUUGAAACUGUGGUUCUUGAGUGAGGUAGAGGUAAGCGGAAUUCCUAGUGUAGCGGUGAAAUGCGUAGAUAUUAGGAGGAACAUCGGUGGCGAAGGCGGCUUACUGGGCCUUUACUGACGCUGAGGCACGAAAGCGUGGGGAGCAAACAGGAUUAGAUACCCUGGUAGUCCACGCUGUAAACGAUGAUGACUAGGUGUGGGGGGACUGAACCCUUCCGUGCCGCAGUUAACACAAUAAGCAUUCCGCCUGGGGAGUACGGCCGCAAGGUUGAAACUCAAAUGAAUUGGCGGGG